rnacentral:rRNA from 1 species
UACGAAGGGGGCUAGCGUUGCUCGGAAUACUGGGCGUAAAGCGUGCGCAGGCGGUUUUGUAAGACCGAUGUGAAAUCCCCGGGCUCAACCUGGGAACUGCAUUGGUGACUGCAAGGCUUGAGUGUGUCAGAGGGAGGUGGAAUUCCGCGUGUAGCAGUGAAAUGCGUAGAUAUGCGGAGGAACACCGAUGGCGAAGGCAGCCUCCUGGGAUAACACUGACGCUCAUGCACGAAAGGCGUGGGGAGCAAACAGG